GAGGAAUAUUGGGCAAUGGGGGAAACCCUGACCCAGCAACGCCGCGUGAAGGAAGAAGGCCUUCGGGUUGUAAACUUCUGUGACAGGGGACGAAAGCAAUGACGGUACCCUGGGAGGAAGCCACGGCAAACUACGUGCCAGCAGCCGCGGUAAUACGUAGGUGGCGAGCGUUGUCCGGAAUCACUGGGCGUAAAGGGCGCGUAGGCGGUUUUGCAAGUCACAUGUGAAAGACCAGGGCUCAACUUUGGGAGGUCAUGUGAAACUGUGAGACUUGAGUGCAGUAGAGGUAAGCGGAAUUCCUGGUGUAGCGGUAAAAUGCGUAGAGAUCAGGAGGAACACCGGUGGCGAAGGCGGCUUACUGGGCUGCAACUGACGCUGAGGCGCGAAAGCGUGGGGAGCAAAC
rnacentral:rRNA from 1 species